UACGGGGGGAGCAAACGUUGUUCGGAAUCACUGGGCGUAAAGGGCGUGUAGGCGGCUGGAUAAGUGGGAUGUUAAAUCCCCCGGCUCAACCGGGGACCUGCAUCUCAUACUGUUCAGCUCGAGCACAUCAGAGGAGACUGGAAUUCCCGGUGUAGCGGUGAAAUGCGUAGAUAUCAGGAGGAACACCGGUGGCGAAGGCGGGUCUCUGGGCAGUAACUGACGCUGAGGAGCGAAAGCGUGGGGAGCGAACAGG
rnacentral:rRNA from 1 species